rnacentral:lncRNA from 1 species
UUUGAAUUAUCGAUUUAAAUAUAUAGCAAUUUAAACUAAAUUUUAACAAAUAUAGAAGGAUUAAAACACAUCUGUGGAUAUUUUGUAUAAUUAGCAGGUUUAGAAGGAGCAGAAGGAAUUUAACUUCAAAAUAUAGUAAAUAAUUUGUUAUAAGUUAAGCUACGUACACGUGGUUUUUUCUUUUUUAUGCAUAACAUACACGAGACCAAUAUAAAAAAAGCUUUUAGAUUAUGACAAAGAAGGGGCAGCAACUGAUACUGCAAAUUUUACUGAGAUCACGUGUGAACAACAAUAGCACACUUAAUUUUGUGUUUUCAAAUAAUUUUGAACAAAGGUGUUGACCGUUAGUAAAACUGAUGUCAGAGAGAGUCUGAGAAUAAGUAAUAAGGACACACGACUUCCUAAAAAACAUCGAUGCACGGUUGCAUUGUUUAUAACGAUAAUAAUUGAAACGUUGUAUAGUAUUGUAUAGUAUAGGAAUACUGAUGUCGUGUAAGGUACCUAAGUGUAUAAGAUACCAUUUUAUGUACCAUGUAUUUUUCAUGUUAACAAUAAUUACGUGUGAAUCUGAAGACGAAUAAAAUAAUUAUCUGCUGUUGUUGACUAUUAGUUGCCUUGUCACGUGUUUAUCUAUACGAAUAAAAUAUUCUUUCGCACACGUAUUGGUAGUCAAAUUUAAAAUAUUUUUUUUUAUAUUCCAAAACUAAGUUCGUAAGGUUCCUUUAGUAAAAAUUAGGCAGCAGAAUUUCUUUUAAAAAGUUGAGACAAUAUGAAAACGAAUAAUACACUUCACAUUAAUGUCAUACUCGUUCUAAUAAUUCAUCUCUAUUACUUAAAUGUACUAGGGAGGGAAAAGUCAUAAAAGUGACCACGUUUAACAGCGAUUAAUAACAAUAAUAAUAAAAAAAUGAAUUGAAGAUCAACUUCAACCAAAACUAAACAUAAAUCGAAUCAAUCAUCGGUGUAAUAUUCACCUUUUUUACUCUAGAUUUCCAGUUUCAAGACUCAAUCGAAAAGUAAGCUCUUGAACAAGUCUCAAAACCAAGAUUAAAAAAAUAGUAGAGGUAUAAAUGAAUUAGAGUAUCUCUACGGAAAAUUGUUAAAUUUGUUCCUUAACGUUUUAUAUUUUUCUAGAUCAUUAGAACUUUCAACGUGACAGCUCUUAGUUUUGGAGUGUUUUUUCAAAAGAAUCUUACAACCGAAAUUUCUUAAAAAAAUAAUUUUCAACCCAGGAUCAACUGAAGAAAAAGAAGAAAUAGCAAUUUUG